rnacentral:rRNA from 1 species
GAUGAACGCUGGCGGCGUGCCUAAUACAUGCAAGUCGAGCGAACGGACGAGAAGCUUGCUUCUCUGAUGUUAGCGGCGGACGGGUGAGUAACACGUGGAUAACCUACCUAUAAGACUGGGAUAACUUCGGGAAACCGGAGCUAAUACCGGAUAAUAUUUUGAACCGCAUGGUUCAAAAGUGAAAGACGGUCUUGCUGUCACUUAUAGAUGGAUCCGCGCUGCAUUAGCUAGUUGGUAGGGUAACGGCUUACCAAGGCAACGAUGCAUAGCCGACCUGAGAGGGUGAUCGGCCACACUGGAACUGGGACACGGUCCAGACUCCUACGGGAGGCAGCAGUAGGGAAUCUUCCGCAAUGGGCGAAAGCCUGACGGAGCAACGCCGCGUGAGUGAUGAAGGUCUUCGGAUCGUAAAACUCUGUUAUUAGGGAAGAACAUAUGUGUAAGUAACUGUGCACAUCUUGACGGUACCUAAUCAGAAAGCCACGGCUAACUACGUG